rnacentral:rRNA from 1 species
GACGGAGGAUGCAAGUGUUAUCCGGAAUCACUGGGCGUAAAGCGUCUGUAGGUUGUUUAACAAGUCUGCAGUUAAAGGUUGAAGUUUAACUUCAAAAAUGCCGUAGAAACUUUUAAACUAGAGGAUGGUAGGGGUAGAGGGAAUUUCCAGUGGAGCGGUGAAAUGUGUAGAUAUUGGAAAGACCACCGAUGGCGAAGGCACUCUACUGGGCCAUGACUGACACUGAGAGACGAAAGCUAGGGGAGCAAAUGGG